GACGAACGCUGGCGGCGUGCUUAACACAUGCAAGUCGAACGGAAAGGCCUGCUUUCCCUUGUGGAUUGCGGGUACUCGAGUGGCGAACGGGUGAGUAACACGUGAGUGAUCUGCCCCCAACUUGGGUAUAAGCCUGGGAAACUGGGUCUAAUUCCCGAUAGGACUGCAGGGUGGUGCCUGUGGUGGAAAACGAUUUUCUAGUGGUUGGGGAUGAGCUCGCGGCCUAUCAGCUUGUUGGUGGGGUAAUGGCCUACCAAGGCGGCGACGGGUAGCCGGCCUGGGAGGGUGGACGGCCACAUUGGGACUGAGAUACGGCCCAGACUCCUACGGGAGGCAGCAGUGGGGAAUACUGCACAAUGGGCGGAAGCCUGAUGCAGCGACGCCGCGUGGGGGAUGACGGCCUUCGGGUUGUAAACUCCUUUCGACCGCGAGGAAGCCACCUGGUUGGAAGGGUGGUGACGGUAGUGGUAGAAGAAGCACCGGCUAACUACGUG
rnacentral:rRNA from 1 species